UACGUAGGGGGCUAGCGUUGUCCGGAAUCAUUGGGCGUAAAGAGCGUGUAGGCGGUCCGGUAAGUCCGCUGUGAAAGUCGGGGGCUCAACCCUCGAAUGCCGGUGGAUACUGUCGGGCUAGAGUGCGGAAGAGGCGAGUGGAAUUCCUGGUGUAGCGGUGAAAUGCGCAGAUAUCCGGAGGAACACCGGUGGCGAAGGCGGCUUCCUGGACCGACACUGACGCUGAGGCGCGAAAGCCAGGGGAGCAAACGGG
rnacentral:rRNA from 1 species